rnacentral:tRNA from 1 species
GACGGGUCGUAGCGCAGAGGCAGGCGCACCUUCUCAGCAAGAAGGGCACGCUGGUUCGAAUCCAGCCGCCCGUCG